rnacentral:rRNA from 1 species
GAUGAACGCUGGCGGCGUGCUUAACACAUGCAAGUCGAACGGAAAGGCUCCUGCUUGCAGGGGUACUCGAGUGGCGAACGGGUGAGUAACACGUGGGGGAUCUGCCCUGCACUUCGGGAUAAGCCUGGGAAACUGGGUCUAAUACCGGAUAGGACGAUGGUUUGGAUGCCAUUGUGGAAAGUUUUUUCGGUGUGGGAUGAGCUCGCGGCCUAUCAGCUUGUUGGUGGGGUAAUGGCCUACCAAGGCGUCGCCGGGUAGCCGGCCUGGGAGGGUGUACGGCCACAUUGGGACUGAGGUACGGCCCAGAAUCCUACGGGAGGCAGCAGUGGGGAAUAUUGCGCAAUGGGGGCAAGCCAGAUGCAGCGACGCCGCGUGGGGGAUGACGGCCUUCGGGUUGUAAACUACUUUCGCUAGGGACGAAGCGCAAGUGACGGUACCUGGAGAAGAAGCACCGGCUAACUACGUG